rnacentral:rRNA from 1 species
UACAGAGGUCUCAAGCGUUGUUCGGAUUCAUUGGGCGUAAAGGGUGCGUAGGCGGCGGGGCAAGUCAGGUGUGAAAUCCCGGAGCUCAACUCUGGAACUGCACUUGAUACUGCCUUGCUAGAGUACUGGAGAGGAGAUUGGAAUUUACGGUGUAGCAGUGAAAUGCGUAGAUAUCGUAAGGAAGACCAGUGGCGAAGGCGAAUCUCUGGACAGUUACUGACGCUGAGGCACGAAGGCCAGGGGAGCAAACGGG